rnacentral:misc_RNA from 1 species
GAUGAAGAACGUAGCAAAAUGCGAUACUUGGUGUGAAUUGCAGAAUCCCGUGAACCAUCGAGUCUUUGAACGCAAGUUGCGCCCGAAGCCAUUAGGCCGAGGGCACGCCUGCCUGGGCGUCACACGUCGUUGCCCCCCCAUCUACUCCUUCGGGAUUGCGGGGGGCGGAUGAUGGCCUCCCGUGCGCCACGCCGCGCGGUUGGCAUAAAUGCCAAGUCCUCGGCGACGCACGCCACGACAAUCGGUGGUUGCGAAACCUCGGUUGCCCGUCGUGUGCGGUCGUCGCGCAUCGAGGGCUCGAAAAAAUUGCCGGGUUCCGGCUCGGCUUUCAACGCGACCCCAGGUCAGGCGGGGUUACCCGCUGAAUUUAAGCAUAUCAAUAAGCGGAGGA